AAUCUAGAUUGGAGAAAUUUAUAUUUGGACUAGGAUUUGUGUAUCCAUAAAAUUUCAAGACAUACAUUUUGUUACUAUUAUUUAAUGUCAUUAUUUUUCGAAGUUCUAGUGGGAAAACACAAACAACACCUAUGUUAUGAACAUAGAUUUUCCCAGAUCUUGUGCCGUUCCUGGGGCUUCCAUUUGGGGAAAAUGAGCUCAUUUAUUAACACGCCCAAUACAAAGAACCCCUCCGUCGUCCUCACGUGGACAAUGCUAUGAACUUUUUACACAUGUGAAGAAGGUUGGCCAACUCGGAGAGAAAACUCAAUUCAAAUUAUCGCCAAACAAGAUCGACAGAUGUUCAACUGGCACAACAGAAAUGCUGCGUCCAAGCUGGAGGGUAAAGUGAAGAGGUGAGGGACUGAAACCGAGUCGGAGAAAGGUCAAUGAGGUGCACCGACCGAUCGGCCAGAUCGAUCUUUGAAACAUAAAGCCCAAAGCCCAGAGCCAAAGUCAAAAGCAGUCGCACGUCUCGCUGAGCAAAUAACGCCCCAAAAAACUAAAAUAACCCAAAAAGAAAAACAGAAGAGCGAACUAAACCCUUUAAUCUAAACCACUUUGGGCAAUGGCAGGGAACCACCUCAGAUCGGAUCUGAGUCGAUCCGAUCCUAUCCGAUCGACAACGCCACGCAUAUUUCGCAUAACCCAGGCACACCUUUUCGCCGGGGUCCAGUUGAGCUGCAAAAGCUGGAAAGGAAGGGAUAGCCCCGAAAAAAUACAACUUGAAUGCGAGGAGGAAAAAAAAUCGGGAAACAAAGGCAUAGGCAAAAGGCACUCCAGAACUCAGAACCUCCAGAAGGGUUCGGGAGAGACGGACGGACAAUUCAGAGGAGUCGGAGGGCAGAGCUACCGUCAUCAUCGCCAGCACUCCACUACUAUUCUUCGCCAUUCGAUCAUCCCAGCCAGCACUCGUCAUCGUGCUCGUCAUCGUGUCCACAUCCCAGAGCCCGGUCUUAUCGGGCCGAUUAAUCUGCCAUCUCUAUCGCUGAUAAGGAGGCCAAAUGGACGACCCAGAGCUUCUCUUCUCCGUGCCUUCUAUCCGACCCGAUCCGAUCCAACCCUAACCACAAUACGACAACCACAUCAUUGUUAGCCCAGUGGCAGCCAACACUCAUGUUUAAAUUAUGAUGGCUUCUAACUUGCGCCCCAACCCCCGAAUUCGAACUCCGAAUCCGUCAAAUCGAAUGUGGGCAUAUGGUCAGCGGUAUGCUGACAUGGCUGACGACCCAUUGACAAAUGCAACGAUUCAAGACUCAUUCUCCUUUUCCUUCAAUGAACACAAAAGCCUCUGAAAUCUGGCAAAUGUUAAAGGGUCUUCCCAAAGAAACAUUCGAGAUCUGGUGAAUAGAUUAAAACUUAUAUUUGAAAUAUAAGAAAAAUA